rnacentral:rRNA from 1 species
UACGGAGGGGGCUAGCGUUGUCCGGAUUUAUUGGGCGUAAAGAGCGUGUAGGCGGCCUGGUAGGUCAGCUGUGAAAACUCGAGGCUCAACCUCGAGACGCCGGUUGAAACCAUCAGGCUAGAGUCCGGAAGAGGAGAGUGGAAUUCCCGGUGUAGCGGUGAAAUGCGCAGAUAUCGGGAAGAACACCCGUGGCUAAGGCGGCUCUCUAGUACGGUACUGACGCUGAGACGCGAAAGCGUGGGGAGCGAACAGG